AUUGGAUAAGCCAGAUUAACCCUAUAGUUGUUUGAGCUGUAGCGUCUCCCUGUCUAAAUACCUUGGCAACAGAAUCCACUGGUCAGAAGACCUUGAUUGUACACUGAAUGUUCCCUGUAGUUUCCUGUUGUGAGUUUGAGUGACCACCUCACAGGUCAAGGUCAGAAGACAACGUUGGAAUGCUGACAGGAAACUUGAACAGACCAGUAGAUGGAGACUGGUAUAGAAAAGUUCCCGGCCGCCCUGGCGCCCUCUGGCCCUCCGCCGGCUCCUGACCCUCCGGCUCUCCCGGCUCCUGAUCUUCCGCCGGUUCUGCCUCCCCUGCCUGU